rnacentral:rRNA from 1 species
ACGGAAGGCAGCAGUGGGGGAUAUUGCACAAUGGGGGAAACCCUGAUGCAGCGACGCCGCGUGAGUGAUGAAGUAUUUCGGUAUGUAAAGCUCUAUCAGCAGGGAAGAAAAUGACGGUACCUGACUAAGAAGCACCGGCUAAAUACGUGCCAGCAGCCGCGGUAAUACGUAUGGUGCAAGCGUUAUCCGGAUUUACUGGGUGUAAAGGGUGUGUAGGCGGAGAAGCAAGUCAGGCGUGAAAUUUACGGGCUCAACCCGGAAACUGCGCUUGAAACUGUUUCCCUUGAGAGUGGGAGAGGUAAACGGAAUUCCUGGUGUAGUAGUGAAAUGCGUAGAUAUCAGGAGGAACACCGGUGGCGAAGGCGGUUUACUGGACCACAACUGACGCUGAGACACGAAAGCGUGGGGAGCAAACAGGAUUAGAUACCCUGGUA